GACGAACGCUGGCGGCGUGCCUAACACAUGCAAGUCGAACGGGGUUACGAGAGCUUGCUCUUGUAACUUAGUGGCGAACGGGUGAGUAACGCGUGAGAAACCUGCCUCUCAGUGGGGGGACAACAGUUGGAAACGACUGCUAAUACCGCAUAACACUUUAGUACCGCAUGGUACAGAAGUCAAAGCUUUAUGUGCUGAGAGAUGGUCUCGCGUCUGAUUAGCUAGAUGGCGGGGUAACGGCCCACCAUGGCGACGAUCAGUAGCCGGUCUGAGAGGAUGAACGGCACAUUGGGACUGAGAUACGGCCCAGACUCCUACGGGAGGCUAG
rnacentral:rRNA from 1 species